rnacentral:rRNA from 1 species
CCUACGGGUGGCAGCAGUGGGGAAUAUUGCACAAUGGGCGCAAGCCUGAUGCAGCCAUGCCGCGUGUGUGAAGAAGGCCUUCGGGUUGCAAAGCACUUUCAGCGGGGAGGAAGGCGGUGAGGUUAAUAACCUCAUCGAUUGACGUUACCCGCAGAAGAAGCACCGGCUAACUCCGUGCCAGCAGCCGCGGUAAUACGGAGGGUGCAAGCGUUAAUCGGAAUUACUGGGCGUAAAGCGCACGCAGGCGGUCUGUCAAGUCGGAUGUGAAAUCCCCGGGCUCAACCUGGGAACUGCAUUCGAAACUGGCAGGCUAGAGUCUUGUAGAGGGGGGUAGAAUUCCAGGUGUAGCGGUGAAAUGCGUAGAGAUCUGGAGGAAUACCGGUGGCGAAGGCGGCCCCCUGGACAAAGACUGACGCUCAGGUGCGAAAGCGUGGGGAGCAAACAGGAUUAGAUACCCCAGUAGUC